rnacentral:rRNA from 1 species
UACGUAGGGGCCGAGCGUUGUCCGGAUUUAUUGGGCGUAAAGAGCGUGUAGGCGGCCAGACAGGUCAGCUGUGAAAACUCGAGGCUCAACCUCGAGACGUCGGUUGAAACCGUCUGGCUAGAGUCCGGAAGAGGAGAGUGGAAUUCCCGGUGUAGCGGUGAAAUGCGCAGAUAUCGGGAAGAACACCCGUGGCGAAGGCGGCUCUCUGGGACGGUACUGACGCUGAGACGCGAAAGCGUGGGGAGCGAACAGG